rnacentral:rRNA from 1 species
CAUCUCUUCUCGGUUUAUAUGAGAAGUAGGCCCUGCCCGGUGCCUUACAGGUAAACGGCGGCCUUAGCGUGAGGGUCUUAAGGUAGCAUGAUAAGUCGGCCUUUGAUUGGGGUCUGGUAUGAAUGGGUUGACGUUGGAUAUACUGUCUCGCAAAGUAAAGUUGAAAUUAAUUUUAAAGUGAAGAAGCUUUAAUUAAAAAAAAAGACGACAAGACCCUAUGAAGCUUUAUCGUAAGGAAAAAAAAUGUGUAUAAUAUUUUAUUUUUUAUGAUUUUGUUGGGAUAACAAAGCGGGGAUGUACUGCUUAGUAUUAAAUUACUUACAAGUUGUAUCUUGGAUUUUAAAAUAUGGCAAGCUACUCUAGGGAUAACAGCGCGAUCUUUUUUAAGAGUUCAAAUCGAAAAAAAGGUUUGCGACCUCGAUGUUGGCUUUAGGUAACCCAAAGGCGUAGAGGCUUUUGAGCGUGGGUCUGUUCGACCUUUAAUUCCUAACGUG